AGAGUUUGAUCCUGGCUCAGGACGAACGCUGGCGGCGUGCUUAACACAUGCAAGUCGAGCGAGGCCCAUCUUCGGGUGGUGCCCUAGCGGCGAACGGGUGAGUAACACGUGGGCAACCUGCCCUCAGCUCUGGGAUAACUCCAAGAAAUUGGUGCUAAUACCGGAUGUGACCCUGACCGCAUGGUCUGGUGGUGGAAAGAUUCAUCGGCUGAGGAUGGGCCCGCGGCCUAUCAGCUUGUUGGUGGGGUAAUGGCCCACCAAGGCGACGACGGGUAGCCGGCCUGAGAGGGUGACCGGCCACACUGGGACUGAGACACGGCCCAGACUCCUACGGGAGGCAGCAGUGGGGAAUAUUGCGCAAUGGGCGAAAGCCUGACGCAGCGACGCCGCGUGAGGGAUGACGGCCUUCGGGUUGUAAACCUCUUUCAGCAGGGACGAAGCCGUAAGGUGACGGUACCUGCAGAAGAAGCACCGGCCAACUACGUGCCAGCAGCCGCGGUAAUACGUAGGGUGCAAGCGUUGUCCGGAAUUAUUGGGCGUAAAGAGCUCGUAGGCGGUUCGUCGCGUCGGCUGUGAAAACCCGGAGCUCAACUCCGGGCCUGCAGUCGAUACGGGCGGACUUGAGUUCGGCAGGGGAGACUGGAAUUCCUGGUGUAGCGGUGAAAUGCGCAGAUAUCAGGAGGAACACCGGUGGCGAAGGCGGGUCUCUGGGCCGAUACUGACGCUGAGGAGCGAAAGCGUGGGGAGCGAACAGGAUUAGAUACCCUAGUAGUCC
rnacentral:rRNA from 1 species